rnacentral:sRNA from 1 species
GUGAGGGCUCCACUCGCACUCUGAAGCUCUGCAACAGUCAGAAAUGUCCCCGGGACAGUGUUGACUUCCGCGCCGCUCAGUGCGCCGAGCACAACAGCAGACGAUUCAGAGGGCAGCACUACAAGUGGAAGCCUUACACUCAAGUAGAAGAGAGUUGGAUGUGACAAUGUCCUUGGAUCUGAUGCUG